rnacentral:rRNA from 1 species
GAGGUCGUUCAAAACUAUCAGACUUGAGAGUGGUAGAGGGAGGUGGAAAUUCCCGGGUGUAGUGGUGAAAUGCGUAGAUAUCCCGGAGGAACACCAGUGGGCGAAAGCGGCCUCCUGGCCCAUUUCUGACGCUUCAGACACGAAAGCUAAGGUAGCAAACGGGAUUAGAGACCCCGGUAGUCUUAGCUGUAAACGAUGUGAACUUAGUGUCGGUGGGUUUAACUCCAUCGGUACUGAAGCUAACGCGAUAAGUUCACCGCCUGGGGACUACGGCCGCAAGGUUAAAACUCAAAGGAAUUGACGGGGCCCCGCACAAGCAGCGGAGCGUGUGGUUUAAUUCGAUGUUACACGAAGAACCUUACCAGGAUUUGACAUGCAAGUGGUAGGAAACCGAAAGGUGACCGACUCCUCGGAGAGCUUGCACAGGUGCUGCAUGGCUGUCGUCAGCUCGUGUCGUGAGAUGUUCGGUUAAGUCCGCUAACGAGCGCAACCCUCGUCGUGUGUUACAAGUGUCACGCGAUACUGCCGGUCUUAAGCCGGAGGAAGGUGGGGAUGACGUCAAGUCAGCAUGGCCUUUAUGUCCUGGGCUACACACACGCUACAAUGGCCAACACAAUAGGUUGCUAAGCCGCGAGGUGGAGCCAAUCCUCAAAGUUGGUCUCAGUUCAGAUUGUAGGCUGCAACUCGC